ensembl:lncRNA LINC02102 long intergenic non-protein coding RNA 2102
AGCCCAUUCUCAAAUUUAGAUUUCUGUUUUUGUUAAGAACAGGGACUGUGGAACGAAUUUGCCUGACUUUGCCAUCAUUCUGCCAUUUCCUAGCUAUGUGGCCUCAGGCAAACUGAUUAAACUUACUGGCCUCAGAAUGGGGAAAAUUUCUGUAACUCAUGCCUGGAAUUACGUGAAGAUGAAAAGCAGGCAUGUCCAUGAGAUGCUUACAAGAGGGACCAGCGCCGUGUACCUAUUCUGUGCAUCCUACCCGUCCACUGUUCCUUCUCCGUGUUUCUUGAAGAAGCUGGAGUUUUCUUUCAGUCUUCUGCUUCUCCUGUUGCUUCCUCUAACUGAAGGAAGAAUCAGUCCAUGGCUUCUGCUCCAUGCUUUCUGCUCUUGGUUCAGGCUCCAACUUUCCCAUUAAUGGAAGAGAAUGGCUCUCCUGCUCCCAGCUGUAAUGAACUAAUUAAUUUUUCUAUCUCUCUAAUCAUUCUCUAUUCCCUGCCAAACCCUCUGGGUGUCUGUUUUGUUCUAUUGUUCAAGCCUGGACUUUGAGGGUAGGCUGGGGGCAUUGCUAGUCCCCACAAUUGCUAAUCCAGGCACUUGAGUCAUUAUCUUCUAUACAUCACACUUAACAACCAGAGGGAAGUGCAACCUCGUGGGCCUCGGAAAGGAAACCACCCACAGACUUGUGCGCCUUCUUCGCAGGCCAGGCUCUCCUUCCCCCAUGGUAAGAAGGUGAAGACUUGGAGAUUGGUGAGUCAGGCAAUCAAGGUCAAAUUGACAUACUCUAGAAGAUUACAUGCCGUGUGGAACAGUACUGGGCAGUGGACCCACUGGGACAGGGGCUCAGGAGGCUAUGGCAGUCCCGCAGGAGAUUCUGGAGUAACAGACAUCCCCAGGACCUCAGCGUUUCAUAGGAACGACAUGGCACACAUUGGUGGUGGCUGUCCUCCCAGGCAGUACCCCACAUCUUGUCUUCCGUGUUUGGGCACCCAGGCUGGAGUAGCAACCCAUCUCAGUCAAUGGCAAAGGAAGCAGGAAUGGGAGGUUCUAAUACCAUCUCACUCAUCCUUGGACCAAGGACACCUCUCCCAUGCACUAUGCCCCAUGCCUCUCUCUCACUAUGGCCCAGUCCACGCAUGGAGGUCCCAGUUGGUGCUCAGGUUCGUAGCGCCUACACGAAUAAAUGCAGUGCUGUUUACCGCCUC